rnacentral:rRNA from 1 species
CCCGAAUGGGGAAACCCAGUGUGACUCGUCACACUAUCAUUAACUGAAUCCAUAGGUUAAUGAGGCGAACCGGGGGAACUGAAACAUCUAAGUACCCCGAGGAAAAGAAAUCAACCGAGAUUCCCCCAGUAGCGGCGAGCGAACGGGGAGGAGCCCAGAGCCUGAAUCAGCAUGUGUGUUAGUGGAAGCGUCUGGAAAGGCGCGCGAUACAGGGUGACAGCCCCGUACACAAAAGCGCAUGUGCUGUGAGCUCGAUGAGUAGGGCGGGACACGUGGUAUCCUGUCUGAAUAUGGGGGGACCAUCCUCCAAGGCUAAAUACUCCUGACUGACCGAUAGUGAACCAGUACCGUGAGGGAAAGGCGAAAAGAACCCCGGCGAGGGGAGUGAAAAAGAACCUGAAACCGUGUACGUACAAGCAGUGGGAGCCCCACCACCAAAGCAUUUGCUGUACCGCGUUGACGGAGCGAAGCGACGUCAAACCGAUAAAACAGCAGUGUAAAGUGAGCCGCAGGGCGCUUUGCGCGACAGCGCAAAGGCAGGCGGUUUCGCGUAGCGAAAGCGAAUGCUUUGGGGUGGGGUGACUGCGUACCUUUUGUAUAAUGGGUCAGCGACUUAUAUUCUGUAGCAAGGUUAACCGAAUAGGGGAGCCGGAGGGAAACCGAGUCUUAAUUGGGCGUUAAGUUGCAGGGUAUAGACCCGAAACCCGGUGAUCUAGCCAUGGGCAGGUUGAAGGUUGGGUAACACUAACUGGAGGACCGAACCGACUAAUGUUGAAAAAUUAGCGGAUGACCUGUGGCUGGGGGUGAAAGGCCAAUCAAACCGGGAGAUAGCUGGUUCUCCCCGAAAGCUAUUUAGGUAGCGCCUCGUGAAUUCAUCUCCGGGGGUAGAGCACUGUUUCGGCUAGGGGGCCAUCCCGGCUUACCAACCCGAUGCAAACUGCGAAUACCGGAGAAUGUUAUCACGGGAGACACACGGCGGGUGCUAACGUCCGUCGUGAAGAGGGAAACAACCCAGACCGCCAGCUAAGGUCCCAAAGUCAUGGUUAAGUGGGAAACGAUGUGGGAAGGCCCAGACAGCCAGGAUGUUGGCUUAGAAGCAGCCAUCAUUUAAAGAAAGCGUAAUAGCUCACUGGUCGAGUCGGCCUGCGCGGAAGAUGUAACGGGGCUAAACCAUGCACCGAAGCUGCGGCAGCGACACUGUGUGUUGUUGGGUA